AUUGAACGCUGGCGGCAGGCCUAACACAUGCAAGUCGAACGGCAGCGGGGGGUAGCUUGCUACUCUGCCGGCGAGUGGCGGACGGGUGAGUAAUGCCUGGGGAGCUGCCCAAUCGAGGGGGAUACCAGUUGGAAACGACUGCUAAUACCGCAUACGCCCUACGGGGGAAAGCAGGGGACCUUCGGGCCUUGCGCGAUUGGAUAUGCCCAGGUGGGAUUAGCUUGUUGGUGAGGUAAUGGCUCACCAAGGCGACGAUCCCUAGCUGGUCUGAGAGGAUGAUCAGCCACACUGGAACUGAGACACGGUCCAGACUCCUACGGGAGGCAGCAGUGGGGAAUAUUGCACAAUGGGGGAAACCCUGAUGCAGCCAUGCCGCGUGUGUGAAGAAGGCCUUCGGGUUGUAAAGCACUUUCAGCGAGGAGGAAAGGUUGGUAGCUAAUAACUGCCAACUGUGACGUUACUCGCAGAAGAAGCACCGGCUAACUCCGUG
rnacentral:rRNA from 1 species